ACGCGUGGACAGUAUCCAUAUAACCAAUUAUAUCUUAUGUUUAUGCGCGUGGACACUAUAUGCUUGCAUGCAGCAACCAAUCAGAGCUUUUAGAGGAACUU